AGCAGUCGCCGCGGUAAUACAGAGGGUGCAAGCGUUAAUCGGAAUUACUGGGCGUAAAGCGCGCGUAGGUGGUUUGUUAAGUUGGAUGUGAAAUCCCCGGGCUCAACCUGGGAACUGCAUCCAAAACUGGCAAGCUAGAGUAUGGUAGAGGGUGGUGGAAUUUCCUGUGUAGCGGUGAAAUGCGUAGAUAUAGGAAGGAACACCAGUGGCGAAGGCGACCACCUGGACUGAUACUGACACUGAGGUGCGAAAGCGUGGGGAGCAAACAGGAUUAGAUACCCGCGUAGUCCCUGUCUCUUAUAC
rnacentral:rRNA from 1 species